AACGCUGGCGGCAUGCCUAACACAUGCAAGUCGAACGAGACCUUCGGGUCUAGUGGCGCACGGUGCGUAACGCGUGGGAAUCUGCCCUUGGGUUCGGAAUAACUUCGGGAAACUGAAGCUAAUACCGGAUGAUGACGUAAGUCCAAAGAUUUAUCGCCCAAGGAUGAGCCCGCGUAGGAUUAGCUAGUUGGUGAGGUAAAGGCUCACCAAGGCGACGAUCCUUAGCUGGUCUGAGAGGAUGAUCAGCCACACUGGGACUGAGACACGGCCCAGACUCCUACGGGAGGCAGCAGUGGGGAAUAUUGGACAAUGGGCGAAAGCCUGAUCCAGCAAUGCCGCGUGAGUGAUGAAGGCCUUAGGGUUGUAAAGCUCUUUUGCCCGGGAUGAUAAUGACAGUACCGGGAGAAUAAGCUCCGGCUAACUCCGUG
rnacentral:rRNA from 1 species